CUGCCCUGUGCAUAAUUUGCCAAAAAAAGGAGAAGUUCAUCAACCGAGCAGGCAAACGACAAAGGGAUCCUCUGUCAAAGGCUGAAACAUUAACAGCAGGCCAAUUGCAGAAAGCUGCAGAGUUGAAGGAUGACCAAAGUAUUCUUUUGCAUAUAAAAGACAAAGACUGUGUGGCUCUGGAGGUGCAGUACCACAAAGGCUGUUAUAAUCAGUACACCAGGUUUUUGACGAGGCCUGAAAAACCAGAGAAAGAACAGAAUGAGCCCACGUUUGAUGUCGGCUAUAAGAUAUUCUGUGAGAGGAGCAUUCGCCAAAGGCUAC